AAGCAAAGCAAAAAAGGCCUCAUCCAUAUCAUAUGAUCUGGGCCAUCUCAUCUGUAAAAGUAAAACUCCUUCAUUCUCUACAGACUACAGGGUUGAUUAAUUAAUGUAAUGUUACUCCUCGAAUUCCAAAGCAGAUUAGUAUUUAUCGGAAAGUAGAAGAGCAAGUGAACUGGAUUGAAGUGAAGGGAAGGGGGAUGAAUGCGAAUACAACACUCACUCUAACCAACAUUACCACUAGCAUAAAAAACCCGUUAAUGUUAACGAUGAAGUUUUGUCCUUGUCCUUGCCCUUCCCCAACACCACCACCUCCGUCUCCCAUUUCUUCAAUCAGGUCUAGCUGCCGCCGCCGCCGCCGCCGAACAAGGUCCUUGCAACCCAGCAUGGUCAUACAAGACACAUCUACUACCGCCGCCUCCGCCGUGUCUGAUGCUGAUACUGAUACUGAUACUGAUACUGAUUCACUAUCUGUUUCCCGUCGCCUUAUUUUGCUUCGUCAUGCUAAGAGCUCCUGGGAUGACCGUUCACUUCGAGAUCAUGACCGGCCACUGAGUAAAAGCGGAGAGCUUGAUGCUGCCAAAGUCUCUCAAAAGCUCCAACAUUUGGGUUGGAUACCUCAACUUAUUUUGUCUAGUGAUGCAUUGCGAACCAAGGAAACACUUCAAAUAAUGCAGCAACAAGUACCAGACUUUUUGGAUGCAGAGGUUCAUUUCAUUUCAAGUUUCUAUUCUAUUGCAGCUAUGGAUGGUCAGACUGCCGACCAUCUUCAGCAAGCUAUCUGCAAUUACUCAAGGGAUGACAUUCUUACUGUCAUGUGCAUGGGGCAUAAUAAGGGGUGGGAGGAGGCUGCCUCUAUGUUCUCUGGUGCCUCCAUAGAGCUAAAUACAUGCAAUGCUGCUUUGCUUGAAGCUGCUGGGAAAUCCUGGGCAGAGGGUUCAAGAAAUUAGUAGUGAUCUAAUGAACUUAGAAAUGACUGGGGCGGGGCUGUAAAGUUUGAGGAUUGUUGCUUGCCAGUGCUAUAUAUGGUUCAAUUACAUAAGGCAUUUGCUUCCGCGGGACUUGGUGGGUGGAAGCUUCAGGACAUUGUAAAACCAAGUGAUAGCCCAAAACUUUGACAUCCAACCCUCCUCUCCAAAAAGAAACAAGAUCCUGCCUUUGGGUUCAUGAUGAUAAAAAAAUCUACUCCUUAUGGGCUGAACCAAAUAUGCCCUCCUCUUUUAAUUAUUCAUGAUCUUUGGUGCAGUUUGAGAAGACAAUAUCAUCCUCCGACCCAAGAAACCUUCUACAAUACCAUGGAAAGAUGGAAAGCAAUGACGUGUCACUGGAGAUGUGUAUGGAUAUACAAGAGAAACAUCUAGAGCAAUUAUUAGAAGAAAAAAAAUUUAAAGGAUUUCUGUUGAUCUGAUGUGUGUCCAUCUCUGUAUUGUAUAAUGUUGUUUUUGAAAUGACAAAUCAGAUGUCGACUGUAUUCAUAUAUAAUGCUAAUCUGAUUCUUACUA